AGUAGCAUAAUGGUUAAGCAGUUGGCUGCUAACCAAAAGGUCGGAGGUUUGAACCUGCCU
rnacentral:tRNA from 1 species